AUUUGUUCCGUUUUACAAAACCUUUUUGAGCAAACUCAACUGCGGGCGAAAGACCUCUUCAAUACCUUCAUUUUGGUGGUGGUUUCACUUCGAUUGACCUCCUGAAACUGAAAUGGUUCACAGAUCAAGAUCUGGACAGAUCUGGCUUUGUCGAAUUAAACCAGGAGCUUGGGAACGAAUUUUUGAAUGAAACAAAUUGGGGGAUACUUAGUUGUGCCAUGGUGAUACCUAGAGAGGCAAUUGCUAAGUCGUGGCACUCUCAUACCUUUACUAGAUGCGAACAAUUUCGGAGGAGAAGAAGAAGAAGUGGAAUCGGACAAGGAUUUUAUUUGUACUGUGGGAAUUCUUAUUUGAUGGAGUUGAAGAAGUCCAGGGACAAAUAAGCCAAG